GUGGGGAAUCUUAGACAAUGGGGGAAACCCUGAUCUAGCCAUGCCGCGUGAUCGAUGAAGGCCUUAGGGUUGUAAAGAUCUUUCGCUGGGGAAGAUAAUGACUGUACCCAGUAAAGAAGCCCCGGCUAACUCCGUGCCAGCAGCCGCGGUAAUACGGAGGGGGCUAGCGUUAUUCGGAAUUACUGGGCGUAAAGCGCACGUAGGCGGACCAGAAAGUUGGGGGUGAAGUCCCGGGGCUCAACCUCGGAACUGCCUUCAAAACGCGAGGUCUUGAGUUCGAGAGAGGUGAGUGGAAUUCCGAGUGUAGGGGUGAAAUUCGUAGAUAUUCGGGGGAACACCAGUGGCGAAGGCGGCUCACUGGCUCGAUACUGACGCUGAGGUGCGAAAGCGUGGGGAGCAAACAGGAUUAGAAACCCGAGUAGUCC
rnacentral:rRNA from 1 species